AGUGAACGCUGGCGGUAGGCCUAACACAUGCAAGUCGAACGGCAGCACAGUAAGAGCUUGCUCUUACGGGUGGCGAGUGGCGGACGAGUGAGGAAUACAUCGGAAUCUACUUUUUCGUGGGGGAUAACGUAGGGAAACUUACGCUAAUACCGCAUACGACCUACGGGUGAAAGCAGGGGAUCUUCGGACCUUGCGCGAUUGAAUGAGCCGAUGUCGGAUUAGCUAGUUGGCGGGGUAAAGGCCCACCAAGGCGACGAUCCGUAGCUGGUCUGAGAGGAUGAUCAGCCACACUGGAACUGAGACACGGUCCAGGCUCCUACGGGAGGCAGCAGUGGGGAAUAUUGGACAAUGGGCGCAAGCCUGAUCCAGCCAUACCGCGUGGGUGAAGAAGGCCUUCGGGUUGUAAAGCCCUUUUGUUGGGAAAGAAAAGCAGCAGGUUAAUACCCCGCUGUUCUGACGGUACCCAAAGAAUAAGCACCGGCUAACUUCGUG
rnacentral:rRNA from 1 species